rnacentral:rRNA from 1 species
UGGGGAAUUUUGGACAAUGGGGGCAACCCUGAUCCAGCCAUCCCGCGUGUGCGAUGAAGGCCUUCGGGUUGUAAAGCACUUUUGGCAGGGAAGAAACAGCCUGGGAUAAUACCCCGGGCGACUGACGGUACCUGCAGAAUAAGCACCGGCUAACUACGUGCCAGCAGCCGCGGUAAUACGUAGGGUGCAAGCGUUAAUCGGAAUUACUGGGCGUAAAGCGUGCGCAGGCGGUCGGAAAGAAAGGUGUGAAAUCCAGGGCUUAACCUUGGAACUGCACUUUUAACUACCGAGCUAGAGUACGUCAGAGGGGGGUAGAAUUCCACGUGUAGCAGUGAAAUGCGUAGAGAUGUGGAGGAAUACCGAUGGCGAAGGCAGCCCCCUGGGAUGAUACUGACGCUCAUGCACGAAAGCGUGGGGAGCAAACAGGAUUAGAUACCCUGGUAGUCCACGCCCUAAACGAUGUCAACUAGCUGUUGGGGUUUAUUAACCUUAGUAGCGCAGCUAACGCGUG